rnacentral:tRNA from 1 species
GGGCUCGUAGCUCAGUUGGCAGAGCGCUCCCCUCGCACGGGAGAGGUCUCGGGUUCGAAUCCCGACGAGUCCA